rnacentral:rRNA from 1 species
AAUCUGAUUGCUUAUUGCACCACAUGUGUUUUUUAUUGAACAAAUUUCUUUGGUGGCGGGAGCAAUCCUACCGCCAGAGGUUAUAACUAAACCAAACUUUUUAUUUACAGUCAAACUUGAUUUAUUAUUACAAUAGUCAAAACUUUCAACAACGGAUCUCUUGGUUCUCGCAUCGAUGAAGAACGCAGCGAAAUGCGAUACGUAAUAUGAAUUGCAGAUAUUCGUGAAUCAUCGAAUCUUUGAACGCACAUUGCGCCCUUUGGUAUUCCAAAGGGCAUGCCUGUUUGAGCGUCAUUUCUCCCUCAAACCCCCGGGUUUGGUGUUGAGCAAUACGCUAGGUUUGUUUGAAAGAAUUUAACGUGGAAACUUAUUUUAAGCGACUUAGGUUUAUCCAAAAACGCUUAUUUUGCUAGUGGCCACCACAAUUUAUUUCAUAACUUUGACCUCAAAUCAGGUAGGACUACCCGCUGAACUUAAGCAUAUCAAAAGCGGGAGAAA